rnacentral:rRNA from 1 species
CUAUGUGAAAUUGGACUUGGGUGUAAUGAAAAUUCCCAGUUAAAAUGAAAUUGAAUCUAARACAUGUACACAUCGCCCGUCACUCUCGCCUARAGGCGAGAUAAGUCGUAACAAAGUAAGUGUAACGGAAGUUGCACUUGU